rnacentral:rRNA from 1 species
CGUGUGGUUCUAUUUUGUUGGUUUCUAGGACCGCCGUAAUGAUUAAUAGGGACAGUCGGGGGCAUCAGUAUUCAAUUGUCAGAGGUGAAAUUCUUGGAUUUAUUGAAGACUAACUACUGCGAAAGCAUUUGCCAAGGACGUUUUCAUUAAUCAGGAACGAAAGUUAGGGGAUCGAAGACGAUCAGAUACCGUCGUAGUCUUAACCAUAAACUAUGCCGACUAGGGAUCGGACGAUGUUAAAAAUUGACUCGUUCGGCACCUUACGAGAAAUCAAAGUGCUUGGGCUCCAGGGGGAGUAUGGUCGCAAGGCUGAAACUUAAAGAAAUUGACGGAAGGGCACCACCAGGGGUGGAGCCUGCGGCUUAAUUUGACUCAACACGG